UACGUAGGGGGCGAGCGUUGUCCGGAGUUACUGGGCGUAAAGCGCCCGCAGGCGGUCGCGUCAGUUUGGGGUGACAGCUCCCUGGCUUAACCGGGAGAGGACCUCGAAGACGGCGCGACUGGAGGGCCAGAGAGGGACAUGGAACUCCGGGUGGAGCGGUGAAAUGCGUAGAGAUCCGGAAGAACACCAAAGGCGAAGGCAGUGUCCUGGCUGGUACCUGACGCUCGGGGGCGAAAGCGAGGGGAGCGAACGGG
rnacentral:rRNA from 1 species